AUUGAACGCUGGCGACAUGCCUUACACAUGCAAGUCGAACGGCAGCACGGGUGCUUGCACCUGGUGGCGAGUGGCGAACGGGUGAGUAAUACAUCGGAACAUGUCCUGUAGUGGGGGAUAGCCCGGCGAAAGCCGGAUUAAUACCGCAUACGAUCUACGGAUGGAAGCGGGGGACCUUCGGGCCUCGCGCUAUAGGGUUGGCCGAUGGCUGAUUAGCUAGUUGGUGGGGUAAAGGCCUACCAAGGCGACGAUCAGUAGCUGGUCUGAGAGGACGACCAGUCACACUGGGACGGAGACACGGCCCAGACUCCUACGGGAGGCAGCAGUGGGGAAUUUUGGACAAUGGGCGAAAGCCUGAUCCAGCAAUGCCGCGUGUGUGAAGAAGGCCUUCGGGUUGUAAAGCACUUUUGUCCGGAAAGAAAUCCUUGGCCCUAAUACGGUCGGGGGAUGACGGCACCGGAAGAAUAAGCACCGGCUAACUACGUG
rnacentral:rRNA from 1 species